rnacentral:rRNA from 1 species
GAUGAACGCUAGCUACAGGCUUAACACAUGCAAGUCGAGGGGCAGCAUGGUCUUAGCUUGCUAAGGCCGAUGGCGACCGGCGCACGGGUGAGUAACACGUAUCCAACCUGCCGUCUACUCUUGGACAGCCUUCUGAAAGGAAGAUUAAUACAAGAUGGCAUCAUGAGUCCGCAUGUUCACAUGAUUAAAGGUAUUCCGGUAGACGAUGGGGAUGCGUUCCAUUAGAUAGUAGGCGGGGUAACGGCCCACCUAGUCUUCGAUGGAUAGGGGUUCUGAGAGGAAGGUCCCCCACAUUGGAACUGAGACACGGUCCAAACUCCUACGGGAGGCAGCAGUGAGGAAUAUUGGUCAAUGGGCGAGAGCCUGAACCAGCCAAGUAGCGUGAAGGAUGACUGCCCUAUGGGUUGUAAACUUCUUUUAUAAAGGAAUAAAGUCGGGUAUGGAUACCCGUUUGCAUGUACUUUAUGAAUAAGGAUCGGCUAACUCCGUGCCAGCAGCCGCGGUAAUACGGAGGAUCCGAGCGUUAUCCGGAUUUAUUGGGUUUAAAGGGAGCGUAGAUGGAUGUUUAAGUCAGUUGUGAAAGUUUGCGGCUCAACCGUAAAAUUGCAGUUGAUACUGGAUAUCUUGAGUGCAGUUGAGGCAGGCGGAAUUCGUGGUGUAGCGGUGAAAUGCUUAGAUAUCACGAAGAACUCCGAUUGCGAAGGCAGCCUGCUAAGCUGCAACUGACAUUGAGGCUCGAAAGUGUGGGUAUCAAACAGGAUUAGAUACCCUGGUAGUCCACACGGUAAACGAUGAAUACUCGCUGUUUGCGAUAUACUGCAAGCGGCCAAGCGAAAGCGUUAAGUAUUCCACCUGGGGAGUACGCCGGCAACGGUGAAACUCAAAGGAAUUGACGGGGGCCCGCACAAGCGGAGGAACAUGUGGUUUAAUUCGAUGAUACGCGAGGAACCUUACCCGGGCUUAAAUUGCAGAUGAAUUACGGUGAAAGCCGUAAGCCGCAAGGCAUCUGUGAAGGUGCUGCAUGGUUGUCGUCAGCUCGUGCCGUGAGGUGUCGGCUUAAGUGCCAUAACGAGCGCAACCCUUGUUGUCAGUUACUAACAGGUUCCGCUGAGGACUCUGACAAGACUGCCAUCGUAAGAUGUGAGGAAGGUGGGGAUGACGUCAAAUCAGCACGGCCCUUACGUCCGGGGCUACACACGUGCUACAAUGGGGGGUACAGAGGGCCGCUACCACGCGAGUGGAUGCCAAUCCCCAAAACCUCUCUCAGUUCGGACUGGAGUCUGCAACCCGACUCCACGAAGCUGGAUUCGCUAGUAAUCGCGCAUCAGCCACGGCGCGGUGAAUACGUUCCCGGGCCUUGUACACACCGCCCGUCAAGCCAUGGGAGCCGGGGGUACCUGAAGUGCGUAACCGCGAGGAGCGCCCUAGGGUA